GUACAAUCCUAUGCAGAACCUGGUCUAAGCAGAUGCUUUCAAUGGAACCUAUUACAGAAAGAAGUCCUUGUGCCAUCAUUUAAAGGGAUUCAUUUCUGCCUACCUUGCAAACAAGGGAAAGGAAUUAUUUGGUGACUUCACCAUAUCAUUGGUCGUCCCAGAGAUGGAACAGUUUCAUGGUCAGUUACUCUGUUCGUAGGAUUUAACAGUGUUGGUUUUUCUGGAUGUAAAAGCACCUGUUUUGCAGCUGAAGGGACAUGGACCGUCACUGGAAUGGCACUUCAAAUUUGAGUGAUUCGUCUCUUUCCUCUGUCAUUUGAAAGGGAUUUUUAAGCACCUGCAUUACAAACUGUGAUUACCAAGCAGAGUAGCAAACCCAGGAGAGGCCAGAGGUUUAACCUGCUUGUUCCAAGAGUUUUAGCUUUCAAUACCAGGUGACUUUGCUGAGAUCCCUCUGCUCAGAGCACUGGAUUCUGGGGUCCCCUUUUGGAGACCUGACACAAAAUGAGGGAUGCAACCUCAGAAUUUCCGUCUGUGAAUGGAACUGAAUGUGUAAUAACAGUGAAAGUGCCUGAACUUGGUCAGUGUCA
ensembl:lncRNA